rnacentral:lncRNA from 1 species
UUCUCUCCUUGUUUUGUGAACGGGGAUAUUCCCCCAAUCUGUAGUGCAUUGACCGGAACAAAAGCUCUACUCCCUCAGCAAAAGGCCGUCUGUGCAGCGCCCUCAUUGUCGCGCGGAGUUCGCCGGGGAGCAGGAUCGACGCGCGGCCCCCCCCUCACCACGCUCGGCCUUCAAAGGUGCAUCUUCGCCAGGCUCGGGCUCCAGCUCGCCAACAGCCCCUUUGUCACCAAGCUCGGCCUCCUCUUCGUC